rnacentral:lncRNA from 1 species
UAUCAUAAUUUGACUAUAAUGAACGGUUUAGGUCAGUUUGGGUCUCGUAGAUGUGAUCUGGCUUAGUCUACUGAUUAAACUUUUUAACGUUUACAUUCUAGCUUCUAGGUACUUUUUAUUUAUUUAUUUGCUUUGGUAUUUAUUAAUGGAUUGUUUGAGCAUUUAGCUAGUGUGUUAUUCGCACCCAAUUAAUAGUAUAAAUUGAAUUGUGGGGGAAAUCAAAACCUGGAGAAGUUGUUGUUCAGACACCUAGAAUUGGUGCAUUAUUUUGGGAGAACAAGUCCCUCUUCCUAAACAAAUAGAAAUAAAUCUUUUAUUUGGGGAUUUUACUUUCACAGGUUCACGCCUGAGGGUAUCUCAGAGGUGAAACCUAGAAAGAUAUCACUUUUAGUCAUGCAGUUCACUGAGAGGGAUGGAUGCAGUUUGGAUGCUACCUCCCUUGAUAAAUCUAACCCAUUUAUUGCUCGUGCAUUUCUUGAAGCUUGAAAAAGUCAGCUUCUGCAGUGAGGGUUAGCUAAACUUUGGCUUUCUGUUCACUUCAUAAAUACUAGCUUUCAUCACUUCAAAUCCCAACUGAAAAGAAGAGACGCAAACUGCCUGAAAAGUGUUUCCUGCAGAGAGUUUGAAUUCAGUACCACUGGAAGAAUCGUAACUAUAAAAUAAAUAGUUGCUGCUGUUGAACCUAUUUAAGCACAGAGAGCCCAGAGAGGUGAUAUCCCUGUGGCAACUGAUAACUGCCAUUACCUGAUGAAUAAAAGUGUCCGGAAGGCCAUAGGACUUCUAGUCCGUGAAUCAUCUCAGGUUAAGCUUGUUGUGAAACUACUACAUAAUUCUGGUCUGUUAAAAGAAGGUCUACACUAAUUUAUUGAUAUGAUAUUGAUACUAGAGAGAGACUGUUUUUGGCAAAUUUACUAGAUACGGACUAGUUCUCUGUAAAUUGUGGAUGGCUGUAUUCAAAAUUGCUGUCGAAGAUUCUGUACAUCAAUACCAUAAGCAUUAAAGAAUAGAAAACCACAGCAGUUA